CAGUAUGGGUAGGGAUAUAGAGUGUGUGAGGGGAAGUAGAGUAAAUACAUAGUGUGAGAGGCUUCAGUUACAAGACUGAGAAAUCUAAGGUAUCUGACAACAAUGAUGAAACGUGAUGAUCAAAGGCAUAGGAGCAAGCACACAGCCCUCCUUCACUCUAUUGGAGACUGGGAAAGAAGUGUGAAAGUGCUGUUCUUUAUCCAGAACCCGUGCAAGCACGCAGUCAUGGAACUGUAGGACGAUACUGAUGAACCAGGAUUUUGCCAUGAUUUUUCCACGAGCCCUCAUGAUUGCCCGUAUCAAAGACCUUGGUCACUUCUGA